UACAGAGGGUGCAAACGUUGUUCGGAAUUACUGGGCGUAAAGCGCGUGUAGGCGUCUAAGUACGUCGCGCGUGAAAUCCCACGGCUCAACCGUGGAAGUGCACUCGAAACUGCAUAGCUAGAGUCCUGGAGAGGAAGGUGGAAUGCUUGGUGUAGAGGUGAAAUUCGUAGAUAUCAAGCGGAACACCGGUGGCGAAGGCGGCCUUCUGGACAGUGACUGACGCUGAGACGCGAAAGCGUGGGGAGCAAACAGG
rnacentral:rRNA from 1 species